UUGAGGCCUUAAAGUACUGUAGCAGCACAUCAUGGUUUACAUACUACAGUCAAGAUGCGAAUCAUUAUUUGCUGCU
rnacentral:pre_miRNA from 1 species